rnacentral:tRNA from 1 species
CGUCUAUUAGCUCAAUAUGGGAGAGCAUUGCAUGGUAACUAACAUGCAAAUAUAUAGGUUAAACUCCUACAUAGACAA